rnacentral:rRNA from 1 species
GAGUUUGAACCUGGCUCAGGAUGAACGCUGGCGGCGUGCCUAAUACAUGCAAGUCGAGCGAACCACUUUGGUGGUGAGCGGCGAACGGGUGAGUAACACGUAGGUGAUCUGCCCAUCAGACGGGGACAACGAUUGGAAACGAUCGCUAAUACCGGAUAGGACGAAAGUUUAAAGGUGCUUCUGGCACCGCUGAUGGAUGAGCCUGCGGCGCAUUAGCUAGUUGGUAGGGUAAAGGCCUACCAAGGCGACGAUGCGUAGCCGACCUGAGAGGGUGAACGGCCACACUGGGACUGAGACACGGCCCAGACUCCUACGGGAGGCAGCAGUAGGGAAUCCUCGGCAAUGGGCGAAAGCCUGACCGAGCAACGCCGCGUGAAUGAUGAAGGCCUUCGGGUUGUAAAAUUCUGUUAUAAGGGAAGAACGACUUUAGUAGGAAAUGGCUAGAGUGUGACGGUACCUUAUGAGAAAGCCACGGCUAACUACGUGCCAGCAGCCGCGGUAAUACGUAGGUGGCGAGCGUUAUCCGGAAUUAUUGGGCGUAAAGAGCGCGCAGGUGGUUGAUUAAGUCUGAUGUGAAAGCCCACGGCUUAACCGUGGAGGGUCAUUGGAAACUGGUCGACUUGAGUGCAGA